UGGGGAAUAUUGCACAAUGGGGGAAACCCUGAUGCAGCGACGCCGCGUGAGUGAGGAAGUAUUUCGGUAUGUAAAGCUCUGUCAGCAGGGAAGAAAGAAAUGACGGUACCUGACCAAGAAGCCCCGGCUAACUACGUGCCAGCAGCCGCGGUAAUACGUAGGGGGCAAGCGUUAUCCGGAUUUACUGGGUGUAAAGGGAGCGCAGGCGGUUCUGCAAGUCUGGUGUGAAAGCCCGGGGCCCAACCCCGGGACUGCAUUGGAAACUGCGGGACUUGAGUGUCGGAGGGGCAAGUGGAAUUCCUAGUGUAGCGGUGAAAUGCGUAGAUAUUAGGAGGAACACCAGUGGCGAAGGCGGCUUGCUGGACGACAACUGACGCUGAGGCUCGAAAGCGUGGGGAGCAAACAGG
rnacentral:rRNA from 1 species